rnacentral:rRNA from 1 species
AGGGUGUAAACGCUACAGACUUGGUGUUGGAAAUCCUUCGAGGGUAUUCAGUGCCGGAGAGAAGUUGUUAAGUCUGCUACUUGGGGAGUACGUCCGCAAGGAUGAAACUUAAAGGAAUUGGCGGGGGGAGCACCGCAACGGGAGGAGCGUGCGGUUUAAUUGGAUUCAACACCGGAAAACUCACCAGGGGAGACUGUUACACGAAAGCCGAGAUGAAGACUCUGCUAGAUUUUUCAGAGAGGAGGUGCAUGGCGUCAGUGACU